rnacentral:rRNA from 1 species
CAGCCGCCGCGGUAAUACGAAGGGUGCAAGCGUUAAUCGGAAUUACUGGGCGUAAAGCGUGCGUAGGCGGUGAGUUAAGUCUGCUGUGAAAUCCCCGGGCUCAACCUGGGAAUGGCAGUGGAUACUGGCUCGCUAGAGUGUGUCAGAGGAUGGUGGAAUUCCCGGUGUAGCGGUGAAAUUCGUAGAUAUUCGGAAGAACACCGGUGGCGAAGGCGACUUACUGGUCCAUUACUGACGCUGAGGCACGAAAGCGUGGGGAGCAAACAGGAUUAGAUACCCCUGUAGUCCCUGUCUCUUAUAC